rnacentral:rRNA from 1 species
GACGAACGCUGGCGGCGUGCUUAACACAUGCAAGUCGAACGGAAAGGCCUUGCUUUUGUGGGGUGCUCGAGUGGCUAACGGGUGGGUAACACGUGUGUAACCUGCCUUUGACGUUGGGAUAACUUCAGGAAACUGGGGCUAAUACCGGAUAUGAGCUCCUGCUGCAUGGUGGGGGUUGGAAAGUUGCGGCGGUUGGGGAUGGACUCGGGGCUUAUCAGCUUGUUGGUGGGGUAGUGGGUGACGGAGUGGGGGACGGGCAGGCGGCCGGGGAGGGGGGCCGGGGAGAGUGGGACGGCGAAACGGGGCAGACGGCUACGGCAGGCAGCACUGGGGGAGAAAGCAGAGGGGGUGGUAGCCUAAUGGAGCGACGCCGCGUGGGGGAUGACGGCCUUCGGGUUGUAGGCUUCUGGCGAGCGAGAGGAUGCCACCUGGUUGGAAGGGUGGUGACGGUAAUGGGAUAAGAAGCACCGGCUAACUACGUG